CCCACAAAUAAGUAAUUAACAGUGCCUGGACCGGAGAGGAGGACUCAGAAGUGGUGUCUGUCUGCUAUAGAAACAUUCUGGUCUUCUAAAGGAAUCACGUGUAAACCUCAAGCAGACAGUGGCCCUACCUCCUUGUUACCAUGGGAUUUAAGCCUCGGUGCCUUGCUGCAAGCUGUAACCACCUGCUUGUCAUUAGAGACGGAAGUGUGAUCUCUCCUUAGGAUAAAGUGGCCACUCCCAUGACCAGGUUUCUAAGUACUUACCCUCAUCACAGCCCCAAACUCUCCUCCAGUUUG